GCACCAGUGGUAGUGGUAAAAUAGUACCCUGCCACGGUACAUACCCGGGUUCGAUUCCCGGCUGUUUCA
rnacentral:tRNA from 1 species